rnacentral:rRNA from 1 species
GGACAAUGAACUUAGAUCAUUUUGACCUCAAAUCAGGUAGGACUACCCAGCCUGAACUUAAGCAUAUCAAUGCCGGAAGGGGAC